rnacentral:rRNA from 1 species
UCUGGCGUCAGGAUGAACGCUGGCGGCGUGCCUAACACAUGCAAGUCGAGCGAUUACUUCGGUAAGAGCGGCGGACGGGUGAGUAACGCGUGGGCAACCUGCCUCAUACACAUGGAUAACAUACCGAAAGGUAUGCUAAUACAGGAUAAUGCAAGAGAUUCACAUGGAUUUCUUAUCAAAGCUCCGGCGGUAUGAGAUGGACCCGCGUCUGAUUAGCUAGUUGGUAAGGUAAUGGCUUACCAAGGCGACGAUCAGUAGCCGACCUGAGAGGGUGAUCGGCCACAUUGGAACUGAGACACGGUCCAAACUCCUACGGGAGGCAGCAGUGGGGAAUAUUGCACAAUGGGCGAAAGCCUGAUGCCAGCAACGCCGCGUGAGUGAUGAAGGCCUUCGGGUCGUAAAACUCUGUCCUCAAGGAAGAUAAUGACGGUACUUGAGGAGGAAGCCCCGGCUAACUACGUGCCAGCAGCGGC